rnacentral:rRNA from 1 species
GAUGAACGCUGGCGGCGUGCCUAAUACAUGCAAGUCGAGCGAACAGAUAAGGAUCUUGCUCCUUUGACGUUAGCGGCGGACGGGUGAGUAACACGUGGGUAACCUACCUAUAAGACUGGAAUAACUCCGGGAAACCGGGGCUAAUGCCGGAUAACAUUUAGAACCGCAUGGUUCUAAAGUGAAAGAUGGAUUUGCUAUCACUUAUAGAUGGACCCGCGCCGUAUUAGCUAGUUGGUAAGGUAACGGCUUACCAAGGCAACGAUACGUAGCCGACCUGAGAGGGUGAUCGGCCACAGUGGAACUGAGACACGGUCCAGACUCCUACGGGAGGCAGCAGUAGGGGAGCGGCCGCAAUGGCCGAAAGCCGGACGGAGCAGCGCCGCGUGAGUGAUGAAGGUCUUCGGAUCGGAAAACUCUGCUAUUAGGGAAGAACAAAUGUGUAAGUAACUGUGCACGUCUUGACGGUACCUGAUCAGAAAGCCACGGCUAACUACGUG